rnacentral:lncRNA from 1 species
AGGCUCAAUAUGUGUUUUCAAGGGGCACAGGCUUUUAUACAAUUAAGGUCCUAUCUGAAACCAACAACAUGAAGUAAAAGCAAUAGCAAUCUAAAGAUAAACUAGCUUAUAGGGAAAGGCUGAAAAAUUAUUUAAAGGAAAGAUACGAUUCAGAUCUGAUUCAGUGGAAGAGAGUAGAUGUUAGAGUGCGGAGCGCAAAACCGGAGCCCGACGACUUGUGGAAGAUGUUGCUGGAAAACGGUCGACUGCGAGUAUCUUUGUGGAAGCCCAACUCGCUACAGGGUCUGGAUCCAAGUGUAAGGGCCUGAAAGCCGGGCCCGCGAGGCAAUGGGCCAAGGGAUCAAUUGGGCUCGCAUGACAACGGGCCAAACGUUGGGGUCGGCCCGCUCGCCCGAAAACAAGAAAUAAAGAAGGGACCCGAAGCUUCUGGAAUGGCUUCGGAUCCCUCUGAGUAGUGGGGAAAAGAGCGGAGGGUAGAGAUGGGCAUC